UGGGGAAUUUUGGACAAUGGGCGCAAGCCUGAUCCAGCAAUGCCGCGUGCAGGAUGAAGGCCUUCGGGUUGUAAACUGCUUUUGUACGGAGCGAAAAGGUCUGCCCUAAUACGGUGGGCUCAUGACGGUACCGUAAGAAUAAGCACCGGCUAACUACGUGCCAGCAGCCGCGGUAAUACGUAGGGUGCGAGCGUUAAUCGGAAUUACUGGGCGUAAAGCGUGCGCAGGCGGUUAUAUAAGACAGAUGUGAAAUCCCCGGGCUCAACCUGGGACCUGCAUUAGUGACUGUAUAGCUAGAGUACGGUAGAGGGGGAUGGAAUUCCGCGUGUAGCGGUGAAAUGCGUAGAUAUGCGGAGGAACACCGAUGGCGAAGGCAAUCCCCUGGACCUGUACUGACGCUCAUGCACGAAAGCGUGGGGAGCAAACA
rnacentral:rRNA from 1 species